CCCCGCUCCCCGCUCCAGGUUCCCGUUGUAGUCCUGCGGUCGGGGUGGGGCUUGGAUAGGGGGAAUUCGGGAGGGAAGAGGCGUUUAAUCGAAGGGCAGAACAAAGUGAAAGUCAAUUCAAGAAGGAUCGCCCAAGGGAGCCUGCCCCGCCGCUGCUCAUAAAGGUAUGAACAAAACAUUGCUUCUCUGGAUAAUGGCUGCCUGUUAACUGCUCUUCUACAGCCAUGCAGGGUUUGAGGAUUCUGUUAAGGCUUGCACAGGGUCAAUCAUCUGCUUUUUCACAGGUUUCUCUGAAAUCCAGAACUGACCCACUGGAGAAUCCAUUCUACAAGAAACUACUGAGAUCUACUAGAAUCCUGCUGGAUUCCUCAAAAAAAGCAAAUCCUGUCUCGGGCAAUACUUAAUAAUUCAUGUAUCUGACAUUCACAUA